AGGAAUAUUGGUCAAUGGACGCAAGUCUGAACCAGCCAUGCCGCGUGCAGGAUGACGGCUCUAUGAGUUGUAAACUGCUUUUGUACGAGGGUAAACCCCGAUACGUGUAUUGGGUUGAAAGUAUCGUGCGAAUAAGGAUCGGCUAACUCCGUGCCAGCAGCCGCGGUAAUACGGAGGAUCCGAGCGUUAUCCGGAUUUAUUGGGUUUAAAGGGUGCGUAGGCGGGCUGUUAAGUCAGCGGUCAAAUGUCGGGGCUCAACCCCGGCCUGCCGUUGAAACUGGCGGCCUCGAGUGGGCGAGAAGUAUGCGGAAUGCGUGGUGUAGCGGUGAAAUGCAUAGAUAUCACGCAGAACUCCGAUUGCGAAGGCAGCAUACCGGCGCCCUACUGACGCUGAGGCACGAAAGCGUGGGUAUCGAACAG
rnacentral:rRNA from 1 species